rnacentral:rRNA from 1 species
AUCUGUGGCCAUGGCGGUUUGUCAAAGCCUGAUCUCGUCACAUCUCUGCAGCUGAGCAGGUCCGGAACGGGUUAGUACUUGGAUGUGAAACCGCUGGGAAAACCAGGUGCCAGAGUGG